rnacentral:rRNA from 1 species
CCUACGGGCGGCAGCAGUGGGGGAUAUUACACAAUGGGGGGAACCCUGAUGCAGCGACGCCGCGUGGGUGAAGGAGUGCUUCGGCAUGUAAAGCCCUAUCGGCAGGGAAGAAGCAAGACGGUACCUGACUAAUAAGCCCCGGCUAACUACGUGCCAGUAGCCGCGGUAAUACGUAGGGGGCGAGCGUUAUCCGGAUUCACUGGGGGUAAAGGGAUCGUAGACGGCCAUGCAAGCCAGGGGUGAAAGCCCGGGGCCCAACCCCGGUACUGCCCUUGGAACUGUGCGGCUAGAGUGCGGGAGGGGCAGGCGGAAUUCCUGGUGUAGCGGUGAAAUGCGUAGAUAUCAGGAGGAACACCGGCGGCGAAGGCGGCCUGCUGGACCGCGACUGACGUUGAGGCUCGAAAGCGUGGGGAGCGAACAGGAUUAGAUACCCGGGUAGUC